CCGGGGGAACUGAAACAUCUAAGUACCCCGAGGAAAAGAAAUCAACCGAGAUUCCCCCAGUAGCGGCGAGCGAACGGGGAGGAGCCCAGAGCCUGAAUCAGUGUGUGUGUUAGUGGAAGCGUCUGGAAAGGCGCGCGAUACAGGGUGACAGCCCCGUACACAAAAAUGCACAUGCUGUGAGCUCGAUGAGUAGGGCGGGACACGUGGUAUCCUGUCUGAAUAUGGGGGGACCAUCCUCCAAGGCUAAAUACUCCUGACUGACCGAUAGUGAACCAGUACCGUGAGGGAAAGGCGAAAAGAACCCCGGCGAGGGGAGUGAAAAAGAACCUGAAACCGUGUACGUACAAGCAGUGGGAGCACAGAGCAAUCUGUGUGACUGCGUACCUUUUGUAUAAUGGGUCAGCGACUUAUAUUCUGUAGCAAGGUUAACCGAAUAGGGGAGCCGAAGGGAAACCGAGUCUUAACUGGGCGUUAAGUUGCAGGGUAUAGACCCGAAACCCGGUGAUCUAGCCAUGGGCAGGUUGAAGGUUGGGUAACACUAACUGGAGGACCGAACCGACUAAUGUUGAAAAAUUAGCGGAUGACUUGUGGCUGGGGGUGAAAGGCCAAUCAAACCGGGAGAUAGCUGGUUCUCCCCGAAAGCUAUUUAGGUAGCGCCUCGUGAAUUCAUCUCCGGGGGUAGAGCACUGUUUCGGCAAGGGGGUCAUCCCGACUUACCAACCCGAUGCAAACUGCGAAUACCGGAGAAUGUUAUCACGGGAGACACACGGCGGGUGCUAACGUCCGUCGUGAAGAGGGAAACAACCCAGACCGCCAGCUAAGGUCCCAAAGUCAUGGUUAAGUGGGAAACGAUGUGGGAAGGCCCAGACAGCCAGGAUGUUGGCUUAGAAGCAGCCAUCAUUUAAAGAAAGCGUAAUAGCUCACUGGUCGAGUCGGCCUGCGCGGAAGAUGUAACGGGGCUAAACCAUGCACCGAAGCUGCGGCAGCGACACUGUGUGUUGUUGGGUAGGGGAGCGU
rnacentral:rRNA from 1 species